rnacentral:lncRNA from 1 species
UCCUGCCCGCUCCGUCCGGGGCCAGCCCCGCUCCGGGCUCUUGCGCCGGGGAAAACUUACCCUAACAUAAAGCCUAGAAACUAAACUCUGUUCGGGUACUGCAAAUAAGCUCCUGGCUUGUUUUGAUAUGGAUCAGGGGUGAGAUGGGCUCUUUUCUUGGCUCUGCUCUUUCUUGGAAGUAGCUGGAUGAGCAGAGAGACAGCGUGGACGAGUAACGCGUGGGGCUGAACUUCAAGGAGAUUACAAAACGAGGGGAUGAACUGGAGAUUACGAGAGGCUGCAGCCUGACUCGCAAUAGGCAGGAGUGCUGUCGAUGGUGUAUCAAUAAAAUAUAUUUAUCUGCAGCCACGCUGAAAAACAAACUCUCAGAGCGUGUGGUGAUGCUCAAGGGCUCUAAGAAACAUGUUGGCAUUGUCAGAUAAUCCCUAUUCAUAAUUUUGCUGGCUGUUCUUUCAGCCCUCAAUCUCACAGUUUCCCCAGCUCUGAUGUGCCUCCGCAGGGUUUGCUUCGGAGCGAUAAAACUGCUCGGAUCUUCGCAGGACUGACAUAGCACCCAACAUUAUUAGAUGCUAUUUUAAUGUGAGAUGUGGGGCUGUUUGUUGGGGUUUUUUUCAUUUUUAAUUUUUGGACACUGGACCUAAAUAUUUAGCAGUCAGCUAAGCCCUUCUGAGAUGGAAUUUAACCUUAAUCCAGGCGAUGAUUUCCUGCCCGGCUCUGAACUAAUAACGG